UACGAAGGGGGCUAGCGUUGCUCGGAAUCACUGGGCGUAAAGCGCGCGUAGGUGGCUUCGUAAGUCCGUUGUGAAAGUCAAAGGCUCAACCUUUGAAAGCCGAUGGAUACUGCGGAGCUAGAGUCCGGAAGAGGAGAGUGGAAUUCCUGGUGUAGCGGUGAAAUGCGCAGAUAUCAGGAAGAACACCUAUGGCGAAAGCGGCUCUCUGGAACGGUACUGACGCUGAGACGCGAAAGCGUGGGGAGCGAACAGG
rnacentral:rRNA from 1 species